UUCAGCAGAAGCAGCCUCAGGGCAUUGAACACAGACUGAAUGACUCAGUGACGCUUGGAUCAGGUCAGAUCAAAUUCUCAAGCAAACAGAUGGCUGGGGAUAUUCAGUAACAACGGUGAGGAGAGAGAGGAACAAUUCACAUUUCAAGGGACCCUUACUCAAAACGGUCUGUUCUGAAGGAGCUUUCCCGCAGAAAUCACUGGAUUGAAAGGUCUCCAGCGGGUCCGUACAGAUUGGUUUUAGUGUUGAAUUCUCAAGCUUGCUCUGUUCAAGGGAUUGAACCCCUCGGCUACAAAGGGGGGUCAGUUACCUCAGCUAACAGGACAGCAGCUCUCGGGUCCUCCUGGUCUAUACUAACUUCCCAACUUUAAAAAGGACACUCCAGGAAGAGAGCUCUUUACAUGGUUCAGGUCAAAAUCCUGGAGCUCCCUCCCUGACAUCACUGUGGGACACCCAAGGACUGCAGCAGGAGAGUACAGCUCACCCCCACC